UUCUUGGCAAUAGGAAAGUAUUUAAGAUUGUGGAAAAAAGUCUUAAUUUUGGGAACCUGACAUCUUCAUCUCAGACUAUGGGUGGAAGAAACACCAAUGGAACUUGGAGCACGACACACGUUUCUGUAAGAUGAAGAUAAGUGAAUAAGCCACAGUGAUGGAGAUAAGCUUCUUUGACUCCUGGAGGGCUUUCUUUAAGUACAAAAAAAGGUAUUGAAAAGUAGUUUAUG
rnacentral:lncRNA from 1 species